CAUAGAGGUCUCACGAUUGGAUAGUUUGAUGAUUUUAGAAUGUUUUAGAGUCCUUGUACUACAAUUAGAACAGAGUUCUAAUGCUAGUGCUUUUGUUAAAUUAGGACUUUUUCCUUUAUCACAAGAUGAUUGAUUAACAUGGUAUGUAGAACAGACUUCUUUGUACUUUGUAUGCAAUGAUGUUUUUUUUUUCUUUUUUCUUUUGCCAUGUGUGCAAUUAGUUAUUAGCCAUAUAGAGCAAUCUUUCUGGUUUUCCUCUGCUUGCCAAUAAAUGUUUUAAGGAAAGUUACUUGCUUUGCAGCAUUCUCAAUUUCUUGUUCUUAAAAAUGCAUGCACUGUCUUAUCCGCUCUCUCCAAUAUCCUAUCUGCAUUUUUGUAUAUAUUAAUCUGUUUGAAAAAGUUUUUCCUAAUGUAGGAAUAUUUGGGAAUCGAUUUUGAAUUUAAAGGUCUUGUUUUUUGUUCGGAUUUUACGUGUCCAUGCUGAAACGCAAUUCUUGUUGCAGGUGUAUUUGGGUGGACGAUACAUAAACAAUCCUACAUUGUCAGAUGUUACGUAUCUGGUUGAAGGUAAACGGUUCUAUGCCCACAGAAUUGCUUUGCUUGCUUCUUCAGACGCAUUCCGUGCAAUGUUUGACUGUGGUUAUCAGGUGAGUCUAGCCAUAUUUUCACAUUCAACACAUGGUACAUCAGUACAUUGUCAUACAUCUUCACACAAGGUGAUUUGCAGGCUUUUUAGUCAAUAGCAUCUCCACCUACAAAGCCAUGGCAUGCUUGUCCGAUACACUGCCAUCCCAAAAAAGCUAUAAACUUCUUAAUGUGUUUUAGGCAUGGAUGAAUGGGAGCUAGAUCGAUGGAUUUUAUUUAUUAUUAUUAUUUUUUUGAAACUAUUCAAUUUAUUAUUGUAAAUAUUAUUCACGGCAGCUCUAGUAUAGUAGAGAAGGGAAAUGGCUACAACAUCAAACAAAGAAGCCUCCAUCUACUUUCUUAUAAGUUGCUUUGUAAGCCAUAGCCCAUCCUACCAAUGCAACAGCCAAUUUUUUUGGCUUGCACAUUCGUGCGCCAUAUCAGCACAUAAGGUGGCAUGCCUAAUGCUAACCUUUUACUUAGUGGCAUCAAAUGAAUGGCUAAGAUGAAAACUGUCAAGGAGAUUAUUGGGGCACAAUCCAUCCACGGUUGGAUGCAACAGACAAAUGGUCUGGAUUACCAAACAAAGGGCCCCACUUUGGGAAAUCCAGAAGGCCUGUAAUGUCCCUGGAUGAAGGUCGUGUACCAUAUGGUUCCAAUAAAUGCACAUGAAGCUUGGAGGAGUGUUGGGUUGCA